rnacentral:rRNA from 1 species
UACGAAGGGGGCUAGCGUUGCUCGGAAUCACUGGGCGUAAAGGGUGCGUAGGCGGGGCUUUAAGUCAGGGGUGAAAUCCUGGAGCUCAACUCCAGAACUGCCUUUGAUACUGAGGAUCUUGAGUUCGGGAGAGGUGAGUGGAACUGCGAGUGUAGAGGUGAAAUUCGUAGAUAUCCGCAAGAACACCAGUGGCGAAGGCGGCUCACUGGCCCGAUACUGACGCUGAGGCACGAAAGCGUGGGGAGCAAACAGG